rnacentral:lncRNA from 1 species
UAUCGGGACAUCAGAGCACUAACCGCAGAAAGAGAUGAGAAGGGGGCUAGGAAGGUCUGACUACGGCCCUACAAACACCGAUCCGAACGAGGUGGAAUACGUCGACCGUUAGGGCUAUCACUACCCUAGGGCUACCACAACAAUCCGCAGGAUUGGGUGCAAUUCCAGGUAAUUGCAAGACUAAACACCACGUAUAAUCUAUUAAUUACUACUCUAAUGUUGCAAAGAUUAGAGCACUUGAUGCAAGCGGGAAUCCAAUAAAUAACUUGAAUGUAAAUAAAAGUAAUUAGAGAACUCAGGAUUAUGAAUUGAAGAACCUGGAGAACGAUGAAGAACGAACCAGUUGCUGCA